CCCCUAGAUGUUCUGGGCCGCACGCGCGCUACACUGAACAGUUCAACAAGUCUUAACCUUGGCCGAUAGGUCUGGGUAAUCUUUGAACGCUGUUCGUGAUUGGGAUAGACCUUUGCAAUUAUGGGUCUUCAACGAGGAAUUCCUAGUAAACGCAAGUCAUCAGCUUGCAUUGAUUACGUCCCUGCCCUUUGUACACACCGCCCGUCGCACCUACCGAUUGAAUGGUCCGGUGAAAUCUCGGGACGGCCGCUUGGUCGCUUGCGUCCGACUGCUGAAACUUGAUUAAACCAUAUCAUUUAGAGGAAGGUGAAGUCGUAACA
rnacentral:rRNA from 1 species